GGUGAGAUGGCCGAGCGGUCUAAGGCGCCAGACUAAGGAGGUGGGAUUUAAAUCCCCAAAAAAUAUCUGGUCCGAAAGGGCGUGGGUUCGAAUCCCACUCUCAUCA
rfam:Dichomitus squalens LYAD-421 SS1 unplaced genomic scaffold DICSQscaffold_23, whole genome shotgun sequence.